rnacentral:rRNA from 1 species
UACGUAGGGUGCGAGCGUUGUCCGGAAUUAUUGGGCGUAAAGGGCUCGUAGGCGGUCUGUUGCGUCAGGAGUGAAAACUCGGGGCUUAACCCCGAGCCUGCUUCUGAUACGGGCAGACUAGAGGUAUGCAGGGGAGAACGGAAUUCCUGGUGUAGCGGUGAAAUGCGCAGAUAUCAGGAAGAACACCCGUGGCGAAAGCGGCUCUCUGGAACGGUACUGACGCUGAGACGCGAAAGCGUGGGGAGCGAACAGG